CAUGAUUGUUGUUGUUUUUAUUGGUAUCUAGAGUAUAGUUAUUUGAAAGAUGAUCAAAGUCAUUGUGCAGAACACUGUAUUUAAACAGGCAAUAGAGGAACAUCCUUAUUUUCGAGCACGUGGCAUGGCGAGCUGUAUCUGCAAGCUCGAUGUAACUGUAAAAAAGAAAUAGUGCACAUGUAACCUGCGUCUACUUUUACUGUAUCUGCAAGCUCGAUGUAACUGUAAAAAAGAAACAGUGCACCUGUAACCUGUGUCUACUUUUACGCCAUCAGGGGUUUAAUUAGUAAUACACAACUUUGUGCCCGACAUAAUUCAAUGCAUAAUGUAACCAGAAUCAUACAGCUAUAGGGACAAAUCUGUGAACCAAUGUUGCCAAGUAAUACCUGUAACCAAUGUUGUCUUGGUUGAUCUUUGAAAGUGGUUAAAAUUAUUACAUGCAUUUCUUAAUUAUUACAUACGAAAGAAGAUAGGAUUAUGAUUAGAUUAAUUUAACAAGAUGCAUAAGUCCUAGAUUAUAUCUAUAUGCUAUUUUAUCUGUGCACCAUACUAUAUGCUAUUUUUUUCUUGGUUGUUCUUUGUCCAUAUUGAACCUGAUAUCCACUCCUGAAAUAUAAGCAGUGCCUGAAGUUGGUUUUGUAAGCCCAAUCAUAUGCAGAUACAGUAGACAUCAUUGAAAUUUAGCUUUAAUAAAAUUUUGAAAUCAUGAUAUUGUGCACGAAAAUGGGGUUGUCUAAAUCUUCAGGUUUGCAUAGAUGAUGACAAAUCACUUCUAUUAGUCAGAUGGAAAAUGUCAAAGAAAUGAAUAAGAGACGAGUCUCCUGUUAUAAUAUUUAUCUGGGAGUGAUAUUGGAGCAUGAUAGAUAUGAUAAUUUGAAAAUGGAGCAUGAGGUGGUAACUCUUCAAUUUAAUUUUCUUUUAGUCCAACUACUUCACUCCUGAGGACAUCGGAUGACAAUGGGAAGGACCAUGUAAUCAUCAAUUUAAUAUUUAUUUACUACCAUAAUAAGUUUAUGUGGCAUAGUUUUAUUCUUACAUAUAAGAGCUUCAGUAUAUUGAUACUCGAGAUAUAUAUUUAUCCAGCGGUAGUUGGUUUUUGGUUGAGCCAUAUUAUUUCUCUUUUUUUUCUUUUUGAGUCAAAUAUAAUAUAUCUCAUUUACUUGCUAUAACCGCAUCCUCACAAUUUUAUAUUAGCUCUAUAAUGAUAAGUUUUAGUUCUCUAAAAAAAAUAUGAAACUAAUAAAUUUUCAUUUUUUAGAUAUAGCAUAUUUUAGUUUAUGUAUACUACUAUUAAACAAAUAGUUAAUUAUGCUUGAGAGAGACUAGUCCUAUAAAAUAACUUGCAACUCUUUAGUUCAUGGAUUCUUAUACAUUGUUAGUAAGUAGAUAUAUAUUAUUGAUGUCUCAAUAUAUUUACUUUUCUCUAGCAGAUACAAGUUAUGGAUAAAAAUAGAGGUUGGAUGUAUAACACUUCUCGUGUAAGUGCCGAGUACAUUGAAAAAGUGAAUGACUUUCUUGAUAGAGCAUUUGCAAGAGUAGCAAAAGGGAAUGAAAUAUGUUGUCCUUGUCGUGGUUGCUGUGAUCAUAGUUGGCAUCAACAAGAGAGGUAGCCAAUAAAGUGGUAGACAAACCCAAAAAGUAUCGAGGGCAAACUAAAUUCAAAAAGUUCAUGUACAAAGUGUACAUGAUCGACAAGUUAUUUUUUUAAAUGAAUAUGGACAACCUUUCGGACCAUCAGAUAAGGCAUGCAGUGAACUUAGCAGUUUCUUAGGCACACUUGGAAGAAACUCAAUUUUUGCACCUCUGGAUAAGGAAAAUUGGCACAAAGUUGAAGAAAAAGAUAAAGAAAAAAAAUAUGGGAUUAUGUUAAGGAAAAAUAUGACAUUCCGGAGGAAGGAAAAAAAAAUGGACCCUAGAAACUGUCAACUGUGCAUGUAGGCGCUGGAAAUCCUUAUUGAAGAAGAAGUGCUUUGACGGGUUUAAAAAUGACAAACAACGAAUGAAGACACGGCCAGAUACUACACCUGAAAUAGAAUUUAAAGCUUUGCUCAAAUUCUGGAACACCGAACACUCAAAGACAACAAGUGAGACCAACAAAGCAAAUCGUGAAGGUCAAGAAUAUAUACACACUACGGGGUCAAUAAGUUUUGUGAGGAUUCGCAAAAAAAUUGGAAAAGGAGUUGGGAAGACUUCCAAGUGAAGCUGAAAUGUUUAUUGAGACCCGUAAAAAGAAGAUAAAACCACUAGGAGAGAAAACAAUCAAUUUAAUAUGCUUUAGAAGAACUCAAUCUCAAGAUGAAGUUGAUGAUGCAUGGAAUUUAGUCAAGAAAGAUGAACAUCCUGGACGUGUAUGUCUUAUGGGGAGGGUUGUCACUAAAACCAUGCUCUAAUAAAAAUAAAAAGACCGUGGACCCCUUUGGGCAAGUUCCAGAAUAUGUUGUUCAAACUAUAUCACAAAAAGUUGAGCAAGAGUUGAAAAAAAAGUUUGAAGCACAGAAGGCAGACUUGGUUCAUGGUUUCGCCGCCCAUGGUUUCGCCGCCCUCUUGACGGAAACACUUGGGCAAACAAUUGAUCUUGCGGCUAUUGCAAGACUUGUUGCAUGCACAAGAUCACCUGAGGGAGGUAAUAGUGAUCGAAAUCAUGACCGUCCUCGCUCAUCUAGAAGCAGUCAUCAUCCACGCAAUGAGGAAAAUUGAUGGUGACUAAAACAGGUUAAUCCGUGCGUACGUGCUUUUCACUUAUUGUGGGAUUAGCUCUAUCUGACAAUUUACAAAUUAUGUAUACCAAUAGAGACCUUUUAGUUAAACAGAGGUCACUUUUUGUUUUAAUGAAAGAGGAAUUUUAUACAUGUACUUUGGACAAAAGAAAAAACUUGUACUAAAGCCAUUGUAAUGAACUAAUGAAUUGUUCCUUAUGUUUGGUUGCUUGCUUGUAAAAUUUGGAGUUUCAUCU